UCUGUAUGCAUUUUCAUCCCAUUCGAAUUCAUCCCGCGAAAGCUUUGCUCCAUCGCAACCCGCAUCUGCUCCCGCAACCCAGCUCCUCCCGGCGACGUCGUCUCUCUCGUCAGUGCCACCGAGCGGCACUCCUCCGUCUGCCCAGCACCUCCACUGUCCCCGCGAGCUCAUUGAACGGAACAAACAAGAUUUCAAUCCCGCGAACCUCCUUCCUCGCCACGAACCCGCGUCCGUCGGCUUCCUCUUGCCAGCGCCACCUCGCGACGGCAUCUUUCGGUUCAGGGCCAACUCGCGACGCUCGUUAGUCUGCCCAGCGCCGCCGCUCCCCGCGAGCUGAUUGAACGGACCAAAUCAGCGACGGGACCGAGUGCUCUAUUUCGCCAAAUGGUUUGCUAGGCUAUUCAGGUCAAGAAUAAUAUAUCUCAGUUUUCUGGUUUUGUGUGGCAUGAAAAUGAGGAAAACCAGAUGAUCAAAGUUAAAGAGAAAUUUGACAAGUAAAACAAAGAGAAGUUGUCGGAAUUUUGUGAUGUCCUUGACAUUCCAAUUGCCAAGGCUACCACUAGGAAGCCAGAUAGUUUCAGUGAUGUGGUGUCACCUGCACUCUUUGCUGUCCGGGUUUAAUCUCAGUUUGAAUAUUUUCUACUGAAACCAAAGUUGCUAUGAGUAUACAUUUGCAGCAUGUGUUUAAGAGCUAGCUUUGAUGCUCUUCAAGCUUUACAUGUCGAGUGAUAUUGUUUUAAAGAGCUGAAAGUGCACAUCCAGGAAGACAUUGUUGCAAACCUGAUAUACUUUUUGGUGGCUCCUCAUGCUACAAAUACUGUGCUUCUUGCAGAAAAAGAGAAGUCAUGUAAAUCCAGCAAAAAACGGAAGAGGGUGGUCAGAGGAAGUUCAGCAUCUGGAAGUGCAGCUUCAAAACGUUCAGCAAAGGAUUUCAAACUCCUUUUAUUGAUAUACAACAAUUUUAGGAAGUGGAGCAGCAAAUUCCAUUACUCUUGGUUGAGAGACAAGCACUAAAUGAAGCAAGAGAAGGAGAAAAGAAUAGAAAACAUGGUGUUCAGGAAACAGCUUGGAGGAAAGCUUGGGAGUUCUUUACAAAGUGAUUUGGGUGUGAACACUGUUGAAGAGCUGUUGCAAUUUUCAGAAGAGAAGCUACAAGAGAAUUAAGGGAGAGUGUAAAAGAGUUGUGACAGUGUUAUUACAAUAUUAUUGCAAUGUAUUACAAUGUUAAGACAACAUUAUAUUUUACUUAUUCACAAAAUGUAUGUGAAUUUAUUGAUUCACAAUUUGUUCCUUGAAAGCGUAGUACAAUGUAUUUGGUUUGCAUUAUUAUUCCGUUUGCAUUAGUACAAUGGAUUGCAAC